UACGGGGGGGAGCAAGCGUUUGUUCGGAUUUACUGGGCGUAAAGGGCGCGUAGGCGGUCAGCACAAGUCAGUUGUGAAAUCUCCGGGCUUAACUCGGAACGGUCAAGUGAUACUGUCGGACUAGAGUACAGAAGGGGCAACUGGAAUUCUCGGUGUAGCGGUGAAAUGCGUAGAUAUCGAGAGGAACACCUGCGGCGAAGGCGGGUUGCUGGGCUGAUACUGACGCUGAGGCGCGAAAGCCAGGGGAGCGAACGGG
rnacentral:rRNA from 1 species